rnacentral:rRNA from 1 species
CCUACGGGAGUCAGCAGUGAGGAAUAUUGGUCAAUGGGCGCUACCCUGAACCAGCCAAGUAGCGUGAAGGAUGAAUGCCCUAUGGGUUUUAAACUUCUUUUUUAUGGGAAUAAAGUGCAGUAUUUAUACUGCUUUGCAUGUACCUUAUCAAUAAGGAUCGGCUAACUCCGUGCCAGCGGCCGCGGUAAUACGGAGGAUCCGAGCGUUAUACGGAUUUAUUGGGUUUAAAGGGAGCGUAGUCGGGUUGUUAAGUCAGUUGUGAAAGUUUGCGGCUCAACCGUUAAAUUGCAGUUGAUACUGGCAUCCUUGAGUACAGGAGAGGUAAGCGGAAUUCGUGGUGUAGCGGUGAAAUGCGUAGAUAUCACGAAGAACUCCGAUUGCGAAGGCAGCCUGCUGGACUGUAACUGACGCUGAUGCUCGAAAGUGUGGGGAUCAAACAGGAUUAGAUACCCCUGUAGUC